rnacentral:sRNA from 1 species
AUUCUACCCAUGCGGGGAAGGAUGAGAAGCUUCGACUAAGGUUCGAUUCGAGCGAAAGCGAGAAAGCGUUGCCAACGGCAACGACCCGAAGGGCGAAGCGCGCAGCGCUGAG